UACGUAGGGUGCAAGCGUUAAUCGGAAUUACUGGGCGUAAAGCGUGCGCAGGCGGUGAUGUAAGACAGAUGUGAAAUCCCCGGGCUCAACCUGGGAACUGCAUUUGUGACUGCAUCGCUGGAGUACGGCAGAGGGGGAUGGAAUUCCGCGUGUAGCAGUGAAAUGCGUAGAUAUGCGGAGGAACACCGAUGGCGAAGGCAAUCCCCUGGGCCUGUACUGACGCUCAUGCACGGAAAGCGUGGGGAGCAAACAGG
rnacentral:rRNA from 1 species